AAAGAGAGCUUUCUCACUCCUCUCAAGGGUCCCUAGAUGUAGCUUCAUAUUUUAAUAAACUUAAAGGUCUGUGGGAUGAAUUUCUGGAAGCUUCUACCUAACCGACUCUCUCUCAUCUUGUUCUUAGAUUUCAUCUAGAUUUCUUGAUGUUUUCAUGGUAUCAGAGCCAGGUCCGUCCCAUUUAUUGUUACCGAUGUUGGGCCCCCAUUUAUGUUGUCCACGCUCCAGAGAUCUGGGCGUGA
rnacentral:lncRNA from 1 species